rnacentral:tRNA from 1 species
GCUGUGAUGGCCGAGUGGUUAAGGCGUUGGACUCGAAAUCCAAUGGGGUCUCCCUGCACAGGUUCAAAUCAUGUUCACAGCG